rnacentral:rRNA from 1 species
CGGCCGCGGUAUCCUGACCGUGCAAAGGUAGCAUAAUCAUUUGUUCCCUAAAUAGGGACUUGUAUGAAUGGCCACACGAGGGUUUAACUGUCUCUUACUUCCAAUCAGUGAAAUUGACCUUUCCGUGAAGAGGCGGAAAUACACCAAUUAGACGAGAAGACCCUAUGGAGCUUUAAUUUACCUACUCUGGAUAGAAAAUUUCGGUUGGGGUGACCUCGGAGUAUAAACUAACCUCCGAACCGAGACUGACAAGUCAAAGUCAGUCUAACUGAUCAACGGAACAAGUUACCCUAGGGAUAACAGCGCAAUCCUAUUCUAGAGUCCUUAUCGACAAUAGGGUUUACGACCUCGAUGUUGGAUCAGGACAUCCCAAUGGUGUAGCAGCU